UUUGGAUCCAUGAAAAUAAGGGUGAACAAAUCAAAUGAGACUUGCAAGUCUGCCCUAGUCUUGGGAUCAUGGGGUGAUGAAAAAUUUGUAUGAGACUCACAAAGCUACCCCAGUCUUGGGUCAUGGGUUGAUGAAAAAUUUGUAUGAGACUCCCAAAGUUGCCCAAGUUUUUUCCUUGUCAAAGGGUUCCAUUUGGAAGAGGUAGUGGGCAUGAAAAAGAUCGGCUAAAAGGACGACCCCAAUUGGUUUGAUUUUCUUUUAUAUGCUUCUGGCUAGUUGGCAAGGAGAUCCCCUCUGCCCGAGACAUUAUCUUCUUCUCUUUUCUUUCAUUCAUUUUCAACUUUUUUUUACGACACAUUGAAAGUCAUUUCGCCUUAUCGCAAAAUUAAGCUUUAUGAAAAAUUGAGCAAACAUUAUCCAAUCUGUGUGGGCUUUAUUAGGCUUGUAACGUGGCUAGGGG
rnacentral:lncRNA from 1 species